AUCCUGGCUCAGGACGAACGCUGGCGGCGCGCCUAACACAUGCAAGUCGAACGAGCGAGAGAGAGCUUGCUUUCUCAAGCGAGUGGCGAACGGGUGAGUAACGCGUGAGGAACCUGCCUCAAAGAGGGGAACAACAGUUGGAAGCGACUGCUAAUACCGCAUAAGCCCACGGGUCGGCAUCGACCAGAGGGAAAAGGAGCAAUCCGCUUUGAGAUGGCCUCGCGUCCGAUUAG
rnacentral:rRNA from 1 species